CAAGCAUACUUUUACAGAGGUUUUAGUGUAUUUAGAAAAAAACAUAUAUUUUUUUAAACAUGUACAUUAAUUUUAAUAGGCUAACAUUGCAAUUUCAACAUCAUAUCAUUGAACUUGCAUUAUAUAUUGAUUUCACAAAGUUAGUCCACAUAAAUUUGUUAGUGUUUAUAUUCAAACAACACACGUGACGGACCUGACUAAACCUCAUUGGUUCUUGGGAUUCAGUACGUCACAUUGGCUUCCUGAUUCAGUUGUUCGAUACACAACGUGCGUGAUCGUUGGUAAAUGUGGAUUAAAAGUUGAAACUAAAACUGUUAAAUUAUAUAUAGUGAUCAUCAGAGGACUUGGCUGAAACAACGCGAUUCACAUGGAUUACUUCGGCGAUGUUUUUUAUUGCUGUUGCGAUUAACUUUUUGAAAUGUGAGCAGUUUUUAAGUAGGUUAUCAAGUGGAUCUGACAUCGAGGGGAAAUAUACGUUUCUUGGAUUUCAUUAAAGUACAUCGGUUUUUGUUUGAAGAUGAAUGAGAGAACAUGAGGCACAGCGGCAUUCAAAUUGACCAAUCAGAGCCGAGAAUAUCUAAUAAGUCGAAGUAGAGAUGAACAGAUGAAGAUACAGCCCGUAAAAAUACUUAUUCUUGGUGAGUGCCAUGUAGCGACGGAUCAAACGGACACUCAUGUCAAGCUUGAUGAGGACACAGUCAAAGCUUUAAAAGACCUUGUGAUUAAGUCUUCAGUGUCUGAAUGGCAAGAAGAAGUGACCCUCCACUUAAACGUGACAUUUAAACUGCUCUGUGUUUUGGUUCAGCCAUUUGUAGGUUUAUCUCGAGUAAGUUCAAAUGCACUUCUGCAUUUGUCCAGUAACUUUUUGUUUAGAGAAUUACAUCAUUAUGAUUAUAUAAUUAUUCAAUGGUUGCAUAUUCAUAGUGUACUUUUCAUAUUGAUGUAUUAAUGUUCCACAAUUUGAUAAAAGUAGCUCAUUGCAUUUCACUGAUCUUUGUUUUAUAUUGUAAAAUCAUUUCAAUAGCAGUGAAUACAUACUUAGUUGUUUCUUUAACAUUUAAUUAGUUGUUAAUGAUGGAAGAAACCGGUUCGUAUGUAUGAAUACAGAAUAGGUAUCAUUUUAGAAUGAGUUAAAACAUGUUUUGGUGGCAAACAUGCAGGUAAAAUAGUACAUGUAUAACAUUCUAAUAGUAAACUUGACUGUAAUUCAAAUGUCACAUACAGUACAUUAGAAAUGAUUUAUUUUAUGUAUACAAAUGUGUGGGCAAUAUAUUAUUAUUUCAUUUUGUAUGCUAUAUUAUUUAUGUAAUAUUAUUAUAUCUGAAAUUAUUAAAUUACAUUUAUAAAUGUUUAAAAGGUGGGUUCAAAUGUGCUUCAAGUUGUA